rnacentral:rRNA from 1 species
GUGUCAGCCGCCGCGGUAAUACGUAGGGGGCGAGCGUUGUCCGGAAUCAUUGGGCGUAAAGCGCGUGUAGGCGGCUCGGUAAGUCUGCUGUGAAAGUCCAGGGCUCAACCCUGGAAUGCCGGUGGAUACUGUCGAGCUCGAGUCCGGAAGAGGCGAGUGGAAUUCCUGGUGUAGCGGUGAAAUGCGCAGAUAUCAGGAGGAACACCAAUGGCGAAGGCAGCUCGCUGGGACGUGACUGACGCUGAGACGCGAAAGCGUGGGGAGCAAACAGGAUUAGAAACCCUGGUAGUCC